rnacentral:rRNA from 1 species
CGGGUGAGUAACACGUGGAUAACCUACCUAUAAGACUGGGAUAACUUCGGGAAACCGGAGCUAAUACCGGAUAAUAUUUUGAACCGCAUGGUUCAAAAGUGAAAGACGGUCUUGCUGUCACUUAUAGAUGGAUCCGCGCUGCAUUAGCUAGUUGGUAAGGUAACGGCUUACCAAGGCAACGAUGCAUGGCCGACCUGAGAGGGUGAUCGGCCACACUGGAACUGAGACACGGUCCAG